rnacentral:lncRNA from 1 species
CUUGCUGGGCAACAAAUAGUUGAAAAAUUGGCCUGUUUUUCAAACUUACAGACGGCUUUGUAAAUAUACGGCAUCGACCAUUUGGGGCUUGUUCGCGGCGCCGUAUAUUUACGGCAUUCACCCUCAAAGGGAUGUACAUUUCAACUCAGAAGCCAGUGGCUUGUC